AUUGAACGCUGGCGGCAGGCUUAACACAUGCAAGUCGAGCGGGGUGAUGGUGCUCGCACUAUCACUUAGCGGCGGACGGGUGAGUAAUGCUUAGGAAUCUGCCUAUUAGUGGGGGACAACAUCUCGAAAGGGAUGCUAAUACCGCAUACGUCCUACGGGAGAAAGCAGGGGAUCACUUGUGACCUUGCGCUAAUAGAUGAGCCUAAGUCGGAUUAGCGAGUUGGUGGGGUAAAGGCCUACCAAGGCGACGAUCUGUAGCGGGUCUGAGAGGAUGAUCCGCCACACUGGGACUGAGACACGGCCCAGACUCCUACGGGAGGCAGCAGUGGGGAAUAUUGGACAAUGGGGGGAACCCUGAUCCAGCCAUGCCGCGUGUGUGAAGAAGGCCUUAUGGUUGUAAAGCACUUUAAGCGAGGAGGAGGCUCUUUUGGUUAAUACCCAAGAUGAGUGAACGUUACUCGCAGAAUAAGCACCGGCUAACUCUGUGCCAGCAGCCGCAGUAA
rnacentral:rRNA from 1 species